UUACCAUAAUCCAGAUGGUAUAAUUCUAUAUUUUCAACUUGUUACAUCUAGAACAUCUGCCUUUCCUCAUAUCUAUUGUAUGCUGCCAAUGUUACACUUUAUAGCUUCGAAAAAAACAUGUUUUCAAUUUUUCACAAGCCUGUCUCCUCAACUUCUGUUUGCUUUAUUCAACAAAUCCAUUCCCAUCAAACAAUUUCACCAGCCGAGAAGGGACCGAAGUUAAGAUUUCCUUUAGGUUUUUUUUUUCAUUCUUAUCAUUUGGUAUAUACUUUUCUCCUAAAUUUUUUGUUACGUAUGAAUUCAAAAUGUAAAGUAAUCACGUUAACGAUAUGUUUUUAAAGGAAAGCGAGUAUGAAUUAUUAAAAAGAUCCAGAAUUUUUUUCCACCAUCCACGAAAAGAAACAUCACUGAAAAUUGAUGUAGUAAUUUAUUGAUUUUUUUUCGUAAAACGCACAAAAAAUAUUAGUACCAAUUUAUUAAAGUUGAAUUAAAAAAAAAAUUUU
rnacentral:lncRNA from 1 species